rnacentral:tRNA from 1 species
GGGCAACUAGCUCAGCUGGUCAGAGCGCCUCCCUUACAAGGAGGAGGUCAGAGGUUCGAACCCUCUGUUGCCCA